UACGAAGGGGGCGAGCGUUGUUCGGAUUUACUGGGCGUAAAGCGCGUGUAGGCGGCCAUCUAAGUCGGGCGUGAAAUCCCACGGCUCAACCGUGGAAGUGCACUCGAAACUGGAUGGCUAGAGUCCUGGAGAGGAAGGUGGAAUGCUUGGUGUAGAGGUGAAAUUCGUAGAUAUCAAGCGGAACACCGGUGGCGAAGGCGGAUAACUGGGCCAACAUUGACGCUGAGACCCGAAAGCGUGGGGAUCAA
rnacentral:rRNA from 1 species